rnacentral:rRNA from 1 species
AGCAGCCGCGGUAAUUCCAGCUCCAAUAGCGUAUAUUAAAGUUGUUGCAGUUAAAAAGCUCGUAGUUGAAUUUCGGGAUCAAAUUGUUGGUCGUGCCUCGGUACGCACUGGUAUUAUUGGUUCCUACCUUCUGAAGAACCGCGAUGUCAUUAAUUUGGUGUCGUGGGGAAUCAGGACUGUUACUUUGAAAAGAUUAGAGUGUUUAAAGCAGGCUUACGCUUGAAUACAUUAGCAUGGAAUAAUGAAAUAGGACGUUUGAUUCUAUUUUGUUGGUUUCUAGGAUUGACGUAAUGAUUAAUAGGGAUAGUUGGGGGCAUUAGUAUUCAAUUGUCAGAGGUGAAAUUCUUGGAUUUAUUGAAGACUAACUACUGCGAAAGCAUUUGCCAAGGAUGUUUUCAUUAAUCAAGAACGAAAGUUAGGGAUCGAAGACGAUCAGAUACCGUCGUAGUCUUAACCAUAAACUAUGCCGACUAGGGAUCGGAUGAUGUUAAUUUUUAAUGACUCAUUCGGCGCCUUAACC